rnacentral:tRNA from 1 species
ACCGAGGUGGUGAAAUAGGUAGACACGCUAUCUUGAGGUGGUAGUGCCAUAAUAGGUUUAUGGGUUCGAAUCCCAUCCUCGGUAUCA